CAUAUGACUGUUCGCGACGGUCCUCCGCAAGGAGGCGAAGAGGGAAUGCGGUAUGGGGCUCGCCCCUGAUCCGCGGCUGCCCCCGCAACUGUGAGCGGCGAGCGCGAGCCCGUGAGGCCACUGGGUGAAAGCCCGGGAAGGCGGCGAGCGCAGCGACCCGCGAGCCAGGAGACCUGCCGUCCAGCGAAACCACGA
rnacentral:ncRNA from 2 species